rnacentral:rRNA from 1 species
AACGAACGCUGGCGGCAGGCCUAACACAUGCAAGUCGAGCGAUGACUUCGGUUCUAGCUUCGGACGGGUGGGUGACUCGUGGGAAUGUGCCCUUCUCUACGGAAUAUCCCUGGGAAACUCUGGGUAAUACCGUAUACGCCCUUUUAUGUCUAGAUUUAUCGGAUAAGGCUCAUCGGGAGUUGGCUUAGGUAGUUGUUUUGGUGAUGGCCUAGCAAGCGGUCGAUCCAUAGCUGGUUUGAGAGGAGGCUCAGCCACACUGGGACUGGGACACGGCCCAGACUAAUACGGGAGGAAGCAGUGAGGAAUCAUGGACAACGGGGGCAAGACUGAUGGAGACAUGCGGGGUGAGAAAUGAAGGCGGUAGGGAAGUAAAGCUAUUUCAGAUGGGAAGAUAAUGACGGUACCAGCAGAAGAAGCCCCGGCUAACUCCGUG